rnacentral:rRNA from 1 species
UACGUAGGGUGCGAGCGUUGUCCGGAAUUAUUGGGCGUAAAGGGCUCGUAGGCGGUUUGUCGCGUCGGGAGUGAAAUCCACUGGCUUAACUGGUGGCUUGCUUUCGAUACGGGCAGACUGGAGGUAUGCAGGGGAGAACGGAAUUCCUGGUGUAGCGGUGAAAUGCGUAGAUAUCUGGAGGAACACCGGUGGCGAAGGCGGCAUCCUGGACCAAUUCUGACGCUGAGGAGCGAAAGCCAGGGGAGCAAACGGG